CCUACGGGGGGCAGCAGUGAGGAAUAUUGGUCAAUGGACGAGAGUCUGAACCAGCCAAGUAGCGUGAAGGAUGACUGCCCUAUGGGUUGUAAACUUCUUUUAUAUGGGAAUAAAACGUUCCACGUGUGGGAUUUUGUAUGUACCAUAUGAAUAAGGAUCGGCUAACUCCGUGCCAGCAGCCGCGGUAAUACGGAGGAUCCGAGCGUUAUCCGGAUUUAUUGGGUUUAAAGGGAGCGUAGGUGGAUGGUUAAGUCAGUUGUGAAAGUUUGCGGCUCAACCGUAAAAUUGCAGUUGAAACUGGCAGUCUUGAGUACAGUAGAGGUGAGCGGAAUUCGUGGUGUAGCGGUGAAAUGCUUAGAUAUCACGAAGAACUCCGAUUGCGAAGGCAGUUCACUGGACUGCAACUGACACUGAGGCUCGAAAGUGUGGGUAUCAAACAGGAUUAGAUACCCGUGUAGUC
rnacentral:rRNA from 1 species